CACCGCACCGCACCGCACCGCACCGCGCCGCGCAGGAGCGGAGGGGCUCGAGCGAGAGGCGCGGUCCCGGCCGUAAGCAAGAAACUUUCCUCGCUCACAGAGCCCUCUUGGAGCAGCACGGCGCCCCGCUGCCAGGGAGCUCCUGGCGCCGGUCCGGCCCCGCCGCCCUUCUGGUUGCGGAGAGGCGCUCCCGGCCCGACGGACCCCGCGCCGCGUCCGUGCCGGAGGUGCCGCCAAAUCCGGACCGGAGCAGAAGGGAUUCACUGUGAACUAUGAGCGCUGCGACAAAACUUUUCUAAGUGACAGAAGCGUGCAUAAGUAAACUUGUAUGCAGAAAUUAAAAUCAACUGGAGUUGGUAGCAUCCUCUCUGGAAGUUAAAUAUCGUUCAAAGCUGGGGCGGCACGGGGGUCGGGUUGCGCGUAGCCGAUGGCCUCGGACCGUGCGGGAGUCGGGUACCGCUGCGGGACGGGCAGCAGCACCGAGGCGGCCGGGGGCAGCGCGACUGCGGCAAGGAGACGGGGGAAGGAAGACGGGCGGAGCGGCAUCGGAGAUAGCAGAAAGAAAAACUCCGCUGAGAAGUGUGAAAAGAAAAGGAGGGGGAGGAGCCGCCCACAUGCUGCCAGGAGCCGUCCCGCUGGCAGCUUCUCCUCUCUGCUGUAUCGCUGCCGAACUGGGCGCCAAGACAGGACAUAUGCAAAAUCAUUUCACUGUGGCACAAACACAAGAAACAUGAUUUGGAAGAAAGGACAGGGGCCAGAGUGUCUGUCUCUUAUUCUCCACUCGCAUUGCUGCAAACUGGCACUUCUGUAAGCGAGCGUGCUUGGAAUCUCCAGGUCUAUUAAAGGUAAAAUCUCAAGCUGCCAGCAAGUUCUUCAGAGGAAUCUCCUGGCCUUGGCAUUAUCUGUGGGCUUUGUCCAGGGACACAGCAUUUAUUUCUUAAAACUGGAGCAACCAGCAUAGUGCAGCAGCCAAGCCAGGUCACGCUGCCCAGAUUCUUCCCGGCUGUUCUGCUGACCAGUUCUGUGCCAAGCUCAUCUGCUACCCACACAAGCCUUUCCAAAAACAAGUUCCCUUCUGGCUCUUCUCCAAAGAACCACUGACUCCUGGGCUUCCCCUGACCACUGGUAUACAAACAAGGUAGCAAGAGCAAGAUUCACCCUACCUAUCUUAAACUCCGGUGGAAUUAUUCAUAUCAAUAAAGUGAACAGCAUUUGACCCUCUAAAAGUAAAUGAAAGACAUUAAUAGAAGAACCCAGAGAAUAUCUUCCAGCAAUAAUUAAAACUCAGGGCAGAAUAAUUUUUUCAGUCAUCAUAAAUCAUAAUGAAAAGUGGAUACCUAAUGUCUGAUUGUUCAGAUCUGCUCCAUGAAAGCAGUCAGGAAAUGUCCAGCUCUUUUAAUUGCUAAUAAUUACUUCGUAGUUUAAGAAGCAGUGAUAUAAAAGAUCCUUAUUGUUUAGAGUAUUACAAAAUUUAACUGUAACUAAUGCAUUUUCAAGAGUUUGGGGAACAUUAUUAAAGUUCAUUUCCAUGCUGCAGCUGCAGGAGUUAGAAUUAUGAAAGUGAAGAAGCUGUAAAAUUGAAAAGGUCAGCAAUGACAUUCAUCUAUUCCAGCUGUCAAAUCAAGGGAAUGUUAACAAAACUAGUCUCUGGUAGAAAAGCUAAUUGUCUACAUGUAUUUUGGCUGCUCCUAUACAUGUACUCUACUGUGGCUAAUCUAUAGAAAGACCAUGCUGGAACAGCUCAUCUUUUUUUGAUCAGGCCUUCUGCAAACAAAGGAGCCUCAUUGCCCCAAAUAAGCAAGUUCUAAUGAUUGUAUAACUCCAACCAGCCUAAAAAGCAGCCGUAUGUUCCAAGUCAGUGUUUAAAGAAAAAAGCAUGUGAAUGAAGUUUAUAGACUCCUGGCAGCAGAGUUCAACUUCCAGAGUGGUGGGAGUACAGGGCAAAUUUAGUAUUUUACUCUAAUGUUGUGUUCUUAAAAAUAGUAUUUCUAAAACGUCUCCUGCCAAGGCAUGUUUUAUUAUAACAAAAUAUAGAAAAGUCUCUAUUGCAGACCAAAUCUUUUGUAGAUGACCUGGAUUUAGUAAUCCCUCAGUGUGAAGGACCUUCUCUUCAACAUUCUAUUCCCCGCAGGGUGAGACUGCAAACCUAACACAGCUAAACACAGACCAUCAGUGAAGACUGAGUCUAGGAACUUUGCUAUUGAAUGACAGACCCCUGCCUUGUGCAGGAGGACCCUCAGCAAGGAACAGUGAGAGACUUAUGUUUUUUAUUAUGCACCAAAUUCCACCUUCUUCAGACCAUGACACUCCUCAGCAAUUGAGAGCAAAGAAAAGUGACUCCAGACCUGUAGCACGCCACACAUUCAAGGGAAUCAAGUGCUUAAUCUUCUCUAGACAAAUUCAUUGCAAGCCCCUCGGGCUAUUUGCUAUUGUUUGUUUUUGUAUUUUCACCUUAUGUGUUUGUAGAUGUUCUCAGAGGUCUACACACACAACUCUACCAACCACAAGUAGCUGACUGUCAGUGUGAAAGCCGUAUUCCUAUAUUGCACCAUAUACAUCAACUCACGCCUCAAUUUAUCUGGUGUUAUGCAAUACAGAUGUGACAGAAACAAUCCAAUUUGACCUAUGACAACAUAUUAUUAGGUCAGUAUGUAGCUUUCUGGAUAACUUUUUAAAAAUCUGUUAUCUGACCUUUGUGGUUUUUUUUUUUUUCCUAUAGAGAAGUAUUGCAAAAGCCAGAAACAAUACCGACAAUUCAUGAAAUAUUCAAGUGUACAGUUGCAAUCUUUUAAUAAAUGGAAGUGACCUUCAAAAGAGACAUCCCAAAGAUUAAGAGAAUUUCUCCAUAGAUGGCAUUUGUCACUAAUCAAUGACCGAAAGAACUUACACUCUUCAUAGAAGUGAAUACAAAAAAGAUCUUUCAGAAUUCUAUCACUUUAAAGUAAAUUUUUCACAAAGCCCACAGAAAAGAGCAUUAACAAGCUAACAAAACAACAGAACAAAACAUCAAACAGGCAAAUUGAAAGGAUACAUCCCCCUGCACCUAUUGGUAACUAUGUCCACAUUUAGAGAGCUAGAGUCAUUUGCACAUCCACACACUAUUCUCUGAGGCUAGAUGAUACUAUCAGAAUUAACUGCAUUUCUUCAACUGCAUUGAUAUGUCAAAAUACAUGCAACAUUCUACUAGCCAGUUUUCUUUUUCAUAUUCACAAAGAUAUUGGGCUCUAACUGGGUCACGGUAUUGGAACAGAUGUAAUCUCAGCAGAAUACUGUGAGAAAUCUGGGCUACAUUAAUGACUGAUCCAAUUACAGUGGAAAUCUCUAGAAAACCCAGAUUUACUAAGAACCAGGAGAUAAUUAUGAUGUACUUCUAGGGACGACCAGAUGGACCAGACAGUCUCAAACUCUAUAAGGAGACCAGAGCUGAAUGAGAGGCACCCGUGCUGUUGCCUACAUAGUUGGAGAUAUUCCCAUUCUGAGAAUAUGAUCAAAACAGACAGAUUCUUUCAGCAAACACCUGUGAGGACUGGAUCAAAACACAUCCUAUACUGGGAAGCAGCAUGGCUUAUGUCCUGCUGUGAUGAUGGGGUGACAGAGGAAUAGGUAUCCAGGAGAGAAUGAAAGAGCAGGAAUCAAGAAACCUCAGGCAGCAAGUUAUGUUCUCUCUCCUGAAUAGGCUAUAGAUGCCACCUUCCAAGGAGCAAUCUGAUACCACACCUAAGAAAACCCAACAAUCUACUGUGGAUUUACACCCAGAAGGAAAGAAAAAUACUUGAGAAAUCUGAGUAUAAACACCUCCUUUCACCAAUCCAAAGGCAGGCAAAAUUUCAUAGUAACCUUAUCUGUGAUCUUGAUAACAUCUUUCAGAGAGGUGUGCCUCUCUUACCUCUGAGUAGUCCCAUUAAGGUAAUUUGGAUCUAAGAGGAUGUAUGAUGUUAAACAUUUAGUUAAUUAUAAAUGUUGCUGAAUCAAGAUUUUUUUUCAGAUAAAUAUUUUACCAGAGAAGAUAUAUUAAACAGUGGAAAGUAAUAUUUCUUAUUUAUAGAACCUGCUGCCAGCUCCAAGCUAGUAAAUAUUUACAUUUCAGGCACUUUGAUGGCUAAUGUGACCUUUCUGUUGCACACUUUACACCUGUGCUGUAUUUUACUUUCAGUGUUAACAUCCUUUCUAGUCCAUCUUCCAUUAACAAGCAGUAUUUAAAUAUAUGCAAAUUUCAUAUUUUAGCUGAUGUUUUAGGAACAUUUUUAAGGUCACUCUGUUUGAUCUAUCAUACAGACACAGCAAAUUUAUGCACCAUAUAUCCUAUCUCUACUUGUUUUUACCUACAUCUGUCUUCUCUGAUUGCAUUUGAAUGGGCUUAUUUUCUACUUUAAAUAAAAGAUUUAUGCCUUAGCUGUCAGUUUGCCUUUAUUUGAAAAUUUAAUUUUGUUUCUAGGAGUCUAGAUUAACUUAUUAGAUUUAACUGUCCCUUGUGCUUUGCAGCGAUAGCAGAAGUAUAUUUUCCCUUGCGGAGAGAAUACAUAAACAAAAUGCUCUUAGCUUAAGAAUAAAGAAUGUUAUUACUUAGACCAAUACAACACAGUUGGUCCAGGAAACAAAAACUGAUGUUGUGAUAUUUUUUUAAUUUAUGAUGGCCAGCAGUGAGAACUGACUCAUAAAUAUGAGCUCUCACAAAUCCUGGAGCCACCAAAACUUGGAAAAUGCUUUGCGGAAAAGGUACAUUCCCCCAAAAUGUCCCCAACGCUUGGGAUAUAGAAUACCCUUUCAUGAAGCAGUACCACUGGGAAACACAACUUCAUUCUUGAUACUCAUGGAUUUAUUUAAGUGAGCAACAAAUGAGAAUCUGCCCCACUGCUUCCAGUUAGUCAGAAGCCCAUUUGUUGAUUCAGUGUGCUAUUCCACAUCUUCAGUGAGACGUGUUCUUUACUGUCUCUCAGUAGAGCUACAUUCAUAAUACUGUUCAUCAAGCCCUGGAAUUUCAGGGCUUGCCUGAAAGGAGAACAGGCUCACUGCAGUUGCUGCAUGUGGUCCUUGCAAAGCCCAAAACGGCUGUGUUCUCUGGUGGGUGGGCUGGGGUGUCUGUGGGAGGUUAAUCUUUUCAACUACGUUCAUCCAUUUUGACCUUCUUCUCUAUUUUUCAUUUCUAGAAGUACCUGGGAUUCUCAGCAACUCUGUGAUUUUUCUCUUUAUUUUGCAACAUCCACAUAGACCUGAACAGAAUCUGUUUUUAAUCAAUCCCUACACUUUUUAUAAACUCUAAAAACCUACAGCUCUUGAUUCUGUACUCUCAAUUAUAUGCACUGCUUUUGAAAGGAAUUGAAGUGUUCCCUCAUCAAUAAUGUUCCUAGAAGCGCCAGGAGAUUGCAGUAUAAGAAUAUCAGGGCAGAGAAAGUAGAAAAUUGAAGGAUCAGUAUUUACUUAUCUACUCUAGCAAGCAGUCAGUCACACAGCUGUUAACUGUAUCCUGACUCACUUUGUUAAAUAGUGAACACCAUGAGCACAAGACUUUUGUGGAGAAGCAGGGAUUCAUCAUACAAAGAAAACAAAUAUACAUUUAUGGUGGCUUUCAUCACUCACAAAAUAUCAGCAGAGAUAAAUGGCACAUAGGAACAUGAGGCCCUCUAUUCCGCCAGCCAGAGCAAUACAGCUGUUAUAUAAGAUGAUAAGCAGUGAUGAAGAAUAACAUGACCAGCAGUAAAAUAAUAAUAAUAAUAAUAAUAAUAAUAAUAAUAAAGGCAUUAAGGCAGGCAGAACAGGACAGAACUUAUCUGACUUGAUAGCCUUCAGUCUGUGACACUGUAUUUAUAAAGUGCCAACAGAUUCAAGAAAGGACAGUAAUUAGUAAGUCCUGGCAUCUUCCUAAUAAAAAAAGCAGUGAAAAUACCACAAAGCACAAUCUCUGCAUGUACAGUACUAUUAAUACAAAGUGAAGUCUUCACAGAGUUCUUCAAAAAUCUCUUCAGCUCAGAAAUGCUCUUUCAGGAACGAUCAUAAAUAUGGCCCACCUACCAUAUACCCAGGUAAAGAAUGCAGAUGAAGCUGGUGUGGUUUGAACAUGCUGGUGGAGGCACUGGGCAGGUAACCAUCUGGCAGGGAAGGCUUAUGCUCAUCUGCUCUCUUGGUAGUGAGUUUCCUUGCUGCUGAAGGGCAGAAGUAAAUCUAUUCCAGUCAUUCCCUUCUGUUGUGAUAGCAAAAAACUUAUCAAGGAUGUGUUAUGCUAAAUCCUAUGACAACAAGCAUUUCAAAGCAUCAGACAAGACAGAUAAUAAAAGGGUAAAACCUGCAAGGAAAUAAACCAUGCACUACACAUGUAAAGAUUUCUUUAUCAUGCUUAGGUAGAAUAAUCUAUUAUUGUGACCAUUACUUAGUUACAGAAUGUACC
ensembl:lncRNA